UACGGAAGGCAGCAGUGGGGAAUAUUGCACAAUGGGCGCAAGCCUGAUGCAGCCAUGCCGCGUGUAUGAAGAAGGCCUUCGGGUUGUAAAGUACUUUCAGUCGUGAGGAAGGUGUUAAGGUUAAUAACCUUAGCAAUUGACGUUAGCGACAGAAGAAGCACCGGCUAACUCCGUGCCAGCAGCCGCGGUAAUACGGAGGGUGCGAGCGUUAAUCGGAAUUACUGGGCGUAAAGGGCACGCAGGCGGUUAAUUAAGUUGGAUGUGAAAUCCCCGGGCUUAACCUGGGAAUGGCAUUCAAGACUGGUUAGCUAGAGUCUUGUAGAGGGGGUAGAAUUCCGAUGUGUAGCGGUGAAAUGCGUAGAGAUGUGGAGGAAUCCGGUGGCGAAGGCGGCCCCUGGGACAAAGACUGACGCUCAUGUGCGAAAGCGUGGGGAGCGAAACAGGGAUUUAGAUACC
rnacentral:rRNA from 1 species